AUUGAACGCUGACGGAAUGCUUUACACAUGCAAGUCGAACGGCAGCACGGGAGCUUGCUCCUGGUGGCGAGUGGCGAACGGGUGAGUAACAUAUCGGAACAUGUCCAAUAAUGGGGGAUAACUACCCGAAAGGAUAGCUAAUACCGCAUACGCCCUGAGGGGGAAAGCGGGGGAUCGUAAGACCUCGCGUUAAUGGAGUGACCGAUAUCUGAUUAGCUAGUUGGUGAGGAAAGGCUCACCAAGGCGACGAUCAGUAGCUGGUCUGAGAGGACGACCAGCCACACUGGAACUGAGACACGGUCCAGACUCCUACGGGAGGCAGCAGUGGGGAAUUUGGACAAUGGGCGCAAGCCUGAUCCAGCCAUUCCGCGUGAGUGAAGAAGGCCUGG
rnacentral:rRNA from 1 species